rnacentral:rRNA from 1 species
GUGAGGAAUAUUGGUCAAUGGGCGCAAGCCUGAACCAGCCAUGCCGCGUGCAGGAAGACGGUCCUAUGGAUUGUAAACUGCUUUUAUUUGGGAAUAAACUCCGGUACGUGUACCGGCCUGAAGGUGCCAAAUGAAUAAGCACCGGCUAACUCCGUGCCAGCAGCCGCGGUAAUACGGAGGGUGCAAGCGUUAUCCGGAAUCAUUGGGUUUAAAGGGUCCGCAGGCGGUCUUAUAAGUCAGUGGUGAAAGCCUACAGCUCAACUGUAGAACUGCCAUUGAUACUGUAGGACUUGAAUUCGAUCGAAGUGGGCGGAAUGUGACAUGUAGCGGUGAAAUGCUUAGAUAUGUCACAGAACACCGAUAGCGAAGGCAGCUCACUAGGUCUGGAUUGACGCUCAGGGACGAAAGCGUGGGGAGCAAACAGGAUUAGAUACCCCAGUAGUCC